UUAUACUUUAAUAAAAUUGCUUACAGAAGGGAAGCUGAGAAAAAGCAAGGACAAAAAUGAUCACAUGAUCAAAUGACUGCAGGGAGGAAGAGAAUCAAAGGGGAAAGGAAGGUCUCUAAGGAGGGACUACAUGGGUAUGUCUUCAUGGUUCCAAAUUUUUGCUUCGUGUUUUCAAGGAAUUACAACAACUAAGGGUCAAGAAGCCAUCUGGGUACCUUUAGCUCCACUCUGAAGUGUUUGGAGUUUAGAAUACUCCAUCUGAACCAAAGAAAGAGAAAGACAAUGGUAUACCAGCACCCAGGCUCCUGUGCAGAUGCUAAACGGCUGAACUGUAACACUGGGCUUGAGGGGCAGGAUCAUUCCUUAGCAUGGAACUCUGUGGGAACAGAGGCAUCUUCUGUUGACUAUCCCAGCUGAAAAUCAGCAUCACACAUCGUAAAGUCCUGCUCUAAAAGAAACUAUGUGAAAGACCUCUAUCACCUUUGCCCUGGGAGAAACUGUCCAAAGAAAAUCCCACACAUCUCCUUCCAGAGCACAGUGUGAUAAAAGGCCAGGCCCGCUCAGAAACUUGCAACAUGACCAAGGAAGGCGAUGAUUCAUUGAAGCUUCGAAGAAAUCCAAACAUCUGUUUUUGUAGCAUACCCCCAACCCCCUGUAUCUUUAUGUAUCAUAUUUUGUUAUCUACGCAUCCCUCCUUGUAUUUAAUGUAAUGUUUCACACAGAGUGAGAAAUGAUGUUGGGUAUGUUCAGCAAAUGUAGUUGGUGUUUCGCCAUUUGUU